UACGUAGGGUGCAAGCGUUAAUCGGAAUUACUGGGCGUAAAGCGUGCGCAGGCGGUUUUGUAAGUCUGAUGUGAAAUCCCCGGGCUCAACCUGGGAAUUGCAUUGGAGACUGCGAGGCUAGAAUCUGGCAGAGGGGGGUAGAAUUCCACGUGUAGCAGUGAAAUGCGUAGAGAUGUGGAGGAACACCGAUGGCGAAGGCAGCCCCCUGGGUCAAGAUUGACGCUCAUGCACGAAAGCGUGGGGAGCAAACAGG
rnacentral:rRNA from 1 species